rnacentral:rRNA from 1 species
UACGAAGGGGGCUAGCGUUGCUCGGAAUUACUGGGCGUAAAGGGCGCGUAGGCGGCGCUGCAAGUCAGGCGUGAAAUUCCUGGGCUUAACCUGGGGGCUGCGCUUGAGACUGUGGUGCUAGAGGACGGAAGAGGGUCGUGGAAUUCCCAGUGUAGAGGUGAAAUUCGUAGAUAUUCGCAAGAACACCAGUGGCGAAGGCGGCUCACUGGUCCGGUACUGACGCUGAGGUGCGAAAGCGUGGGGAGCAAACAGGG